rnacentral:rRNA from 1 species
UACGUAAAAGACUAGUGUUAUUCAUCUUUAGUAGGUUUAAAGGGUACCUAGACGGUAUAAUUAGUCUUAAACAAGAAACGGUUAUGCUAGAGUUAUAUAUGAGAAGGGGAGUAUUUAUGGAGUAGAGUUGAAAUUCUUUGAUCCCAUAACGACUGGUAGCGGCGAAAGCAACCUUUUAUCUAAUAACUGACGUUGAGGGACGAGCUCGGGUCACGAACAGG